UCCUACGGGGGGCAGCAGUGAGGAAUAUUGGUCAAUGGUCGGGAGACUGAACCAGCCAAGCCGCGUGAGGGAUGAAGGUGCAGAGUAUCGUAAACCUCUUUUGUCAGGGAACAAAGGCGGGGACGUGUCCCCGGAUGAGUGUACCUGAAGAAAAAGCAUCGGCUAACUCCGUGCCAGCAGCCGCGGUAAUACGGAGGAUGCGAGCGUUAUCCGGAUUUAUUGGGUUUAAAGGGUGCGCAGGCGGUCUGUUAAGUCAGCGGUCAAAGCCCGGGGCUCAACCCCGGCCCGCCGUUGAAACUGGCAGG
rnacentral:rRNA from 1 species